rnacentral:ncRNA from 12 species
GAUCUUCGAGAUGAAAAAAGCGUCUUCAUGCGCCGCAUGCCUUGUGCAAUGGGCAAAAGAGAUGUCGGGAGUGACGCUCCGGCCGAAGAUU